CAUUGAACCUUCGGGGGAUUUGUUGGGCGGCGAGCGGCGGACGGGUGAGUAAUGCCUGGGAAAUUGCCCUGAUGUGGGGGAUAACCAUUGGAAACGAUGGCUAAUACCGCAUGAUAGCUUCGGCUCAAAGAGGGGGACCUUCGGGCCUCUCGCGUCAGGAUAUGCCCAGGUGGGAUUAGCUAGUUGGUGAGGUAAGGGCUCACCAAGGCGACGAUCCCUAGCUGGUCUGAGAGGAUGAUCAGCCACACUGGAACUGAGACACGGUCCAGACUCCUACGGGAGGCAGCAGUGGGGAAUAUUGCACAAUGGGCGCAAGCCUGAUGCAGCCAUGCCGCGUGUAUGAAGAAGGCCUUCGGGUUGUAAAGUACUUUCAGCAGUGAGGAAGGAGGUAUCGUUAAUAGCGGUAUCUUUUGACGUUAGCUGCAGAAGAAGCACCGGCUAACUCCGUGCCAGCAGCCGCGGUAAUACGGAGGGUGCGAGCGUUAAUCGGAAUUACUGGGCGUAAAGCGCAUGCAGGUGGUUUGUUAAGUCAGAUGUGAAAGCCCGGGGCUCAACCUCGGAAUUGCAUUUGAAACUGGCAGGCUAGAGUACUGUAGAGGGGGGUAGAAUUUCAGGUGUAGCGGUGAAAUGCGUAGAGAUCUGAAGGAAUACCGGUGGCG
rnacentral:rRNA from 1 species